CACAAGAUCAUCUACACUCCACUCUCCACAUCAUGAGAAAUGGUGGGCUUUGUGUCUAAUUAUAUUUUACAAAGAAAAAGUUAUCAUGUGUGGUGAUGUAUAAAAUAAUUAUUGUAUGUAUUUAUUUAAAUUUUAUUGUAUAUGUUUUUUAUUUAUUUUAUUUUUUUUAUAAUGUAUUGUAUUAAUUAAUUAAUUUAAAAAGAGUCAUAAUUUAAUUAUCUAAUAUUAAAUUUUUUUUUAAAACAAAUAAUCAAACAAAUAAUUAACAAUAUAAUUGUUAUAAAUAAAGCGGUUAGGAAAAAAAAAAAUCAAUUCAUUUUAGUCAGUAUUUUGUGUUAUUUUAUUUUGUUUUGUUUUUGGAGACUCAACUUGUUGGUGUGACCGUGUGCCACUCAGAUGGGAUUUCCAGCAAAUGUUUCCUAACAGCAGUUGUUGAUACACACUUCUUUUUUUUUUUUCCCAUUGGCGGGGACAGCAACAAUGUCACAGACGGGUGAGAAGCACCUUCUCUCUUAAACCCUCAAAUUCUCCCCCACCCCCAAAUUCCAGAGACGAGUUUUGCUCGCCCAAUGCUCGGUCGACCAACCUUUCUCUCUUCAAUUCAAUGGCUUUCUCUUCAACUCCACUAACACAGCUCUGAACUCCGAACCCACAAAAAUCAAAAGACCCACACACUAUCAAACAUGGCUUUCUUCAGAACCCUUCGUUCUCACCAUUUCCACACACUCGUAAAACACCAGAAACCUCUACAUAAUUCUUCCAAAACAACCCAUUACUUAGUUUCCAAUCCUCAGAAAUCUUCCUUACUUGCUUCAAUCUCUCACAGAACCAUAUCGCUUUCGGCACAAUUCGGAGCUGAAUCGAUUCACUUAGAUGACGGCAAAGAAGAUAAGAAGAAGACAAAGAAGCCCUUGAAUGUUUUCUUCAAAGAAGCCGUCGGAUUAUCCCAAAAUAUUGAGAAAAGUGAAGGCGAAAGCGACAUCGAAACUGGAGAAUUGAAGAAGAAACUGAGAAAAUUGGAGGAAGAAGUGAGAAAAUUGAAUGCGGAUAAGAAGGAGGGAGAGGUUUUGAAGAAGAAGCAGCCUAAGAAAGAUGAUGGGUUUUCACAGAAUGAGUCUAAGCCUAAGAAAGAUGAUGGGUUUUCACAGAAUGAGUCUAAGCCCAAGGGCUUGUAUUCGUUGUUCACGAAUAAGGCAGCUAACAGUGAAAAAUCUGUGGAUAAGGAGUCUUCCAAGGUUGAUGAGCCAAUGGUUUUCAAGGAGCUCUCAACCGACAUGGUUCUGUUUGCGACUCAUUUGUACAAAGAAGGAUACUUUAAUAAUGCUAAUUUCUUGCCAAGGGACAAGUUUGAUGAUACUUGUUUUCAGAACAAUUUUGGCCGUGAUUAUCUAAAGUUCGCCACCGAGAAGUUUGGCAAGGAUAACCAAGAAAUCGCAAAGUGGUUAUCAGGCAGUGACUUGAAAAAGGUAGCCUUGUUUGGUUGUCCUUCUCUUUCAAGGAAGAAUGUUUUUUCUGCUAAAAGAUUGCGCACUUUUUUUCGAAUUCCGGAAAACACUGUUUGCAGUAGAUGCGCGUUAAAACAAUCAUGCAAGUUCCCAAAUCAGAGUGUAUGGAAAGGCGACACCAAGCAGUUGAAUUUGGCUGUUGUAAUGAGGGUUAUCGUUUUGUAUGCUUUGGAGGCAGUACCUCAACAGUUGGUAGUGCCUGAUGAGAUAAAGGCUUCUGUUAGUCGGUUGCUGAAGGAGGUCGUAAAUCUAAGUCAAACUAUAUCAUAAGGCUUGUUCAGGAUCUUAUCUAUGAAAUGAAGUUUCAGGUACUUUGAGGACUAAUUCUUUUCAAGGCUGCUUGCCCCCUGAUCAUUUUAGUUGCUUCUAUACUGACUUAAUUCUCUCAUCGUACAUAUGAUACUAAUGAUGCUAAUGCCAACAUCUGGGCUUUUGAGAUGAUAUACAUGACUACUGCUGCAAAUGUUGCUAAAGUAUGUGAGAAGGGGCUUUUCCAUAUGUAUGUAGACGUGUCAUCCUGGUUGCACCGGCUGUGAACAGAUGAACUUUGAAGAGAGCUUGGCCAACUUCUUUUACAUGCAUCCUUUCAUUUCAAAUUUAUGUAUUGCAUAAAAAACAAAGAAACCCCAAUUAUUUGUGACGCUUUGAAUUUUUUGCUGAAUUUCAGUGACUGCAGAUCAGAAUUGUUUCCGGGUAGGGUGCAUGUGUUAAUCUGUUUCUGGGUAGGGUGCGUGUGUAAAUCUAUAUUUUUUAUCUACGAAGCAUUAUGGAAAUAUUAAAUGUCCAUUUUCCUCCCUCUAUCGUCGAUAGUUGGACCAUCAGAGUUGUUAAUUUCCUGUACAUUUAGAACAACUUCCUAUUGGGUAUUGAAGAAUAAUUGACGAGUAAAAAGGGAAACAAAUAACAAUGUUUGCAACUUUAGAAUUU